GCAGGUGGGGACAUGCCAUCACAUGCAUGGGGAGCAGGUGGAGACAUGCCAUCACAUGCAUGGGGAGCAGGUGGGGACAUGCCAUCACAUACAUGGGGAGCAGGUGAGGACAUGCCACAUGCAUGGGGAGCAGGUGAGGACAUGCCAUCACAUGCAUGGGGAGCAGGUGAGGACAUGCCACAUGCAUGGGGAGCAGGUGAGGACAUGCCAUCACAUGCAUGGGGAGCAGGUGGAGACAUGACAUCACAUGCAUGGGGAGCAGGUGAGGACAUACCAUCACAUGCAUGGGGAGCAGGUGGGGGCAUGUCAUAUGCAUGGGGAGCAGGUGGGGACAUGCCAUCACAUGCAUGGGGAGCAGGUGAGGACAUGCCAUCACAUGCAUGGGGAGCAGGUGGGGGCAUGUCAUAUGCAUGGGGAGCAGGUGGGGACAUGCCAUCACAUGCAUGGGGAGCAGGUGAGGACAUGCCAUCACAUGCAUGGGGAGCAGGUGAGGACAUGCCAUCACAUGCAUGGGGAGCAGGUGAGGACAUGCCAUCACAUGCAUGGGGAGCAGGUGAGGACAUGCCAUCACAUGCAUGGGGAGCAGGUGGGGACAUGCCAUCACAUGCAUGGGGAGCAGGUGGGGACAUGCCAUCACAUGCAUGGGGAGCAGGUGGGGACAUGACAUCAUCUUGUCAUCAUAGCAUCUGACUGAUAGCAUGAGUCCUAUAUGCUAAGCUAUGGCUGUGCUGCACAACCAUGCAAGCACCUGAGGAUGUAGGGUGUGUUACCCACCCAUGUUACAGAUGAGAAUCUAAGCCACAGAAAGGUUAACAGCCUACCAGUUGAUCCAUCUGAGAACAUAGCCCUACUCUCUGGUAACCAGAAGCCACCUUUUCUCCUGUCCUUCCUCUCCUAUCCUUUGUACCGUGAUUUGGUGCAUAGUUUGGAGCCUCCACUCCCCUGAAGCUCGUGAAUUGAGCUGCUUGUGACACCGGGGCAAGAGCAUGGCCCAAGAGGCCCUAAAAGCUCAGCGCCAGCUCUCAGAAUAAGCUUGCAGCUUCUCAGACCUGCCGGGCGCUUCCUCCAUCAGACUGAAGUAACACUUGCUGGGGAGAAUCAGAUG